AGGGGCUAUAAGGUAAACAAAUAAAAGAAACGACAAAAAAAGAUAAAAAUAAAAGAAAAGGAAAGAAGUAGGAGUCGAGUCAGCUAAGGAGGAGACAGAGUGAAAUAAACACAAAAAGUUGAAUUGUACCAAGAAGAGACAUUCCCUGACAAAUGGUGUCUUGUCCAAACAGAAAAGAAAAUGAUGUGUAUGGGUACCUGUGCACAUUUACCCUAACUCUACCUUGUGUGGGUCGCACAGAGUUUCCUGUUGGCGAAUGUUCAUGAUUGAACCUGGUUAUUUUUCUUUUCCCAGUGUGUGUUUAAUUAUUAAGUCAU
rnacentral:lncRNA from 1 species